rnacentral:ncRNA from 2 species
UCUGAACCAGCCGUUACAAGUUCCGCAAGGAUUCAUAGAGAAACCGGUGGGAAUCCGGUACGAUCCCGUCACUGUGAUAGGGAGUCUCAGAGCAUGGCUAUGCCACUGGGCGGAAGGCCCGGGAAGGCGUUUUGAGGCGUUGAUCUUAAGUCAGGAGAACUGCUUGUAACUGAUAGAGGUA